rnacentral:lncRNA from 1 species
UGAGAGACACAUAUGGUGCGUUCAGGUCCGCGGGGCUCCCUCAGGGCCCCGUGCACAAGGACUUGGCAUGCAUUUCUGGCCUCUCCCGCCGCAUGGCAACUCACACUGUGCCCGGUUCUCCUCCCCUCGCUCUGCGUUCACAGGUGCACGGGGCUCGUGUUCCGGAAGGUCGGAAAGCUGGCAGCCACGGCCCUAGGAGGAGGGUUCUUCCUCCUGCAGCUGGCAAGCCACACGGGGUACAUCAGAGUCGACUGGCAGAGACUGGAAAAAGACGUAAAGAAAGCCAAGGCGCAGCUGAAGAUCCAUAGGGGUCGGCAAAUGCCCACUGAGGUCGGGAGCAAAGCCGAGGAGGCCCUGUCGUUCGUGAAGAAGAAUGUUCCAGUAGCCGCAGGGUUUCUUGGAGGCUUCCUGCUCGGCCUGGCGUCCUGAGGGUGUCACGUGGCCCCUAUAGCGAAUCCUAUAGCAGGCCCUAUAGCAGAUCUUAAAGCAGAUGCUAUAGCAGAUCCUAUAGCAAACCUUAUAGCCAAUUUCAUAGCAAACCUUAUAGUAGAUCCUAUAGCAAAUCCUAUAGCAAACCUUAUAGUGAAUCUUACAGCGAUAUAUAUAUAUAUAUAUAAUAUUUUAUGGUAUUUUAUUAUAUACAUUAUUACACUAAGGUAUUUUAUUAUAUAUAUAUAAUAACUUAUGGUAUUUUAUUAUAUCUAUUAUACACUAAUGUAUUUUAUUAUAUAUAUAUAAUAUUUAUGGUAUUUUAC